CGACGAUCGGUAGCCGGACUGAGAGGUUGAACGGCCACAUUGGGACUGAGACACGGCCCAGACUCCUACGGGAGGCAGCAGUGGGGGAUAUUGCACAAUGGGGGGAACCCUGAUGCAGCGACGCCGCGUGAGGGAAGACGGUUUUCGGAUUGUAAACCUCUGUCUUUAGGGACGAAACAAAUGACGGUACCUAAAGAGGAAGCCACGGCUAACUACGUGCCAGCAGCCGCGGUAAUACGUAGGUGGCAAGCGUUGUCCGGAAUUACUGGGUGUAAAGGGAGCGUAGGCGGGAAUGCAAGUUGAAUGUUUAAACUAUGGGCUCAACCCAUAGUCGCGUUCAAAACUGCAUUUCUUGAGUGGAGUAGAGGCAGGCGGAAUUCCUAGUGUAGCGGUGAAAUGCGUAGAUAUUAGGAGGAACACCAGUGGCGAAGGCGGCCUGCUGGGCUCUAACUGACGCUGAGGCUCGAAAGCGUGGGUAGCAAACAGGAUUAGAUACCCUGGUAGUCCACGCCGUAAACGAUG
rnacentral:rRNA from 1 species